rnacentral:rRNA from 1 species
GAGUGACAGUUUCCGGCUUAACUGGAAAAGGUCUUCGAAAACUGGUGGACUUGAGGACUUGAGGGGGAGACGGAAUUCCGGGUGGAGCGGUGAAAUGCGUAGAGAUCCGGAGGAACACCGAAGGCGAAGGCAGUCUCCUGGCAAGUUCCUGACGCUCAUGUGCGAAAGCUAGGGGAGCGAACAGGAUUAGAUACCCUGGUAGUCCUAGCCGUAAACGAUGACCACUAGGCGUGGGAGGUAUCGACCCCUUCCGUGCCGCAGCAUACGCAUUAAGUGGUCCGCCUGGGGAGUACGGUCGCAAGAUUAAAACUCAAAGGAAUUGACGGGGACCCGCACAAGCAGCGGAGCGUGUGGUUUAAUUCGAUGCAACGCGAAGAACCUUACCAGGACUUGACAUGCAAUUGCACCACCCGUUAUGGGGUGUCCCUUCGGGGCGGUUGCACAGGUGCUGCAUGGCUGUCGUCAGCUCGUGUCGUGAGAUGUUGGGUUCAGUCCCGCAACGAGCGCAACCCUUGCCGCUAGUUGAAAUGGUCUAGCGGGACCGCCGCGAUCAACGCGGAGGAAGGCGGGGGAUGACGUCAAGUC